UCACAGGCUGCACCAGGAGACACUUCAAUGUCUCUGUAUCAGGAAGAGAUUAUAUUGCCUAUAAUAAACAAAUUGAAUAUUUCUAUAAAUUCAAAAUCAUAUUGAAAUGGAAACAGGUUGAGGAGGAAGAGCAGAGAGAUACUGCAGGUUAUUUUCUUCUGUGGAACUGUGGAACCUCCUUCAUCUCUCUUGGAGAGUCUCAGCACUUCACAGUACAAGGAUCUUCUCUUGUAGACCAUCCUGAAAUCUUGGGAUUUGCUGUUGAGCAGGAUAUCCCUGUUUUAUAGGAAACCAGCCAGAUUUAUAACUCUGGUUUGCAGCUUAGGAAAACAUGGAACAAAAAAAAGAAGAAAAACCAGCGUAGAACACAGAUAACCACUCUAAGAAUACUUUUAUUUUUGAAUAAAAUAAAAGAACGAGCAGGAACAUUUCAGAGUUUCACUAGUACAGUCUGUUAUUCCUGAUUUGGUUAUAUGUCAGACUUAAAUCAAGACCCACACCAGACAAAACCUGCUGUCUGCUCUCCCUGCCUGACAAUAUUUUCUUGAUGGGAACUUGGGCUCUCACUGGUGAUGAGAGAAGCUGUUCCUGAGCUCAUCUGUGGGUGCAAGAACUGCCUCAAGAGCAUCCAGCAGCUCUGCAAGGUCUGAAAUGAAUCUGUCAGUGCUCUGACCUUGCCUUUGCCCUCCUUCCAAGUAUAUGCAUUGCUAGAUAUCAACAACCUAAACACAGCUAAAACCCUAAGCAACCAAAACAUAAACAAUCAAAACAACAAACGCAUUUGUUGCAUUAGCUGACAGCACCCAUAAUGUCACUGGACAAAUAUGUAAAUACUGACCUAAAUCCCUUUUGCUGGAGACUUUUGUGCUCAGUCUAAAUGUUGGAACAGACAGCAGCUCCAGCAUGGAUAGCCCUGGGUCUGACCAGGAACCUCAGUGCCCACAUGGGCACUCCACAGGCCUUCAGGGAACCCUGCUGGAAAGAGGAUUUCAUUCUCGUGGAUUUUGGCACCACUCAUUAGCAUUCAAUUAAUUAAAACCAAGCUUCUAAUAUCUUUUGGCUGGG